rnacentral:rRNA from 1 species
GACGAACGCUGGUGGCGUGCUUAACACAUGCAAGUCGAACGGAAAGGCCCUGCUUUUGUGGGGUGCUCGAGUGGCGAACGGGUGAGUAACACGUGAGUAACCUGCCCUUGACUUUGGGAUAACUUCAGGAAACUGGGGCUAAUACCGGAUAGGAGCUCCUGCUGCAUGGUGGGGGUUGGAAAGUUUCGGCGGUUGGGGAUGGACUCGCGGCUUAUCAGCUUGUUGGUGGGGUAGUGGCUUACCAAGGCUUUGACGGGUAGCCGGCCUGAGAGGGUGACCGGCCACAUUGGGACUGAGAUACGGCCCAGACUCCUACGGGAGGCAGCAGUGGGGAAUAUUGCACAAUGGGCGGAAGCCUGAUGCAGCAACGCCGCGUGCGGGUUGACGGCCUUCGGGUUGUAAACCGCUUUCGCCUGUGACGAAGCGUGAGUGACGGUAAUGGGUAAAGAAGCACCGGCUAACUACGUG